UACGGAGGGAGCUAGCGUUGUUCGGAAUUACUGGGCGUAAAGCGCGCGUAGGCGGCUUUGUAAGUUAGAGGUGAAAGCCCGGGGCUCAACCCCCGGAACUGCCUUUAAGACUGCAUCGCUUGAACAUCGGAGAGGUGAGUGGAAUUCCGAGUGUAGAGGUGAAAUUCGUAGAUAUUCGGAAGAACACCAGUGGCGAAGGCGACUCACUGGACUGGUAUUGACGCUGAGGUGCGAAAGCGUGGGGGAGCAAA
rnacentral:rRNA from 1 species